GAGCAGGAGUUCUGCAGAAGGUGUGCAAAGACUGCCUAGCCUGAAGCUGAGCUCCAGGAUCAUCUCACAGUGUUCCCUGGUAUUGAUGGUCACCUGGGGCUGGAAAUCCUGGAGAGCAAAUGAAGAACGAGAUGUUGCAGGAAGACUCAGCAGUAUAAGCCUGCUGACAAAACAAGAGACAGAGCAAUAAUACUGCACAGGCAGAACUGGUGGAGAGGCUGAGAGGAACAGAUGAAAGAAAGAGAGCAGAAGAGGUUCUGCAUUCUGGUGGGCAACACAGUUCUGCAACAAGGACCCUGCUCAGGAUUACUGGGAGCUGUGGUCAUCCUCCAGCAAGAAGCCUCUAACACUGGCAGGGCUCCUGAAGGGAAGAGAGAUGAGAACAGGGGCAGAGCUGAGUGACCUCUGUGUGCUCCAGGUUACCAUGGCUGGUCCAGGAAAUUGGCAGAAGAGCAGGAGGCUGCACUUUUCAAGGACUUCAAGGCAGAGUCAAUCCAGCUGUGGUGAAGCGUGUAACUCAAAUGUGUUCCUGAAAUAUCCCGGAAUGCAAAAACAGGAGGCUGGGAAAUACUUCAGGAAACAAAAGUUCUCUUUAUGGUUCAGUCUGCUAAAAAAACAAACAUGAGAAGAAGGUGACCUGCUUCCCUCCAGAGAAUUGAAGAGCUGGUGCUUAGGAAGAAAACAGGAGAAAAAGCCAUAUUCCCAAGAUGAUAUUUCUGUCAAUAAAUGGAGAACAUGCAGGAUCAGCCCCCACAUUCAGAAGAAAGAGCUUCUCCUGGUCCUUCCUCUAGCGACUGGGUGCUCUAAACUGCAGAAGGAAUAACAUAGCUGAAAAGAAUGACUCAACUAUUUAACUCCUUCCUUAAAUGGAAACUGUUCAAAUGCUUCCUUCAUUUGUCUGUCCCAGUGGUGUAUGAGAAAAAUGGCUUGUGGGCUCUGCCUGGUGCCACAGAGAUGAGAGGAUGCACAUGGCUCGCUGCUCCUCUCUAAGGAUCUCUUUGUUCUUCCCAGUCCCUGGGGCACAUGUUCCAUGUGAGGCAAUGACAGUUUUUGUUAUCACACAGACGUAUCAGUUUCAGUGACAAUCAGUCCCUUUUCAAAAAAACAUUAUUUCUCAUGAUUGUCUCCCUCUUGGAAAAUGUGGCCUUUAAAGCCAAAGUGGGGGGAAAAGAUGAAUGAAGGGGAGACAACAAAUGUCCUGGCGACACAGAAGUUAAAUGGUGUGUUAUGUGUUAUGGGACAAUCAGCCAAUCGGCUUGAAAGGGUAUAAAUCAAUAUAUGUGCUCGCAGAAAGGAAACACUGGGCCUUACAUUGUGAAAGAAAGAGGGACCGUUUUGUCCUGCCUGUGCAGGUUUAGCAGACACUGGGAAGGAAACUGCUCA